CAAAAUGCAGAAGAAUGAAAAUCCUGGACUGAGUUCAAACCCUGCAGAGACUCAAACCAAUCAGAACUCGGUGGAUCCUGAAGUUUCCUAUGUCACCAUCAGCAACACCUAGAAAACCAAGAUAAGGUGUUUUGUUUAGUGAUAUGUUUGUUUGUUUGUUAUUAUUUUAUCUAUAUAUCAGACAGCUUUUUUCAGGUUCGUGUUGAUGAUGAAAUGAUGCAGUGACUUCUGCUCUACUGUCAAUUUUAAAAUAACAUAGUUCAAGCUGUUGAAAAAAAGAAUUUGCAUUUAAUGGAAAGACAAUUCUUGAAUAUUGUUUAUGGGUCCAACAGAUUUAAAGAAACACCAGUUUUUGGGAGAGUGCCCAGCUACAUUAUAAUACACUUAUUUUUCCUUUUUUUAAAUGAAAAUAUAAUUGGUACCAGGAGUUCUUUGCUAUGGAUAUGAGCAGUUGCUCUAAGAGAAGGCUGGAUAGAAAACAUACAACUAAAACUAUUGCUAUUGCUAGACUAUUGAACAGCACACAGGAUUCAGUGCCAUGGUCCUAGAGUUUUGAGUUGUAUUUGAGUUUCAAAUUUGUGUUCUGAAGAUCUUCCUUAGCUUCUAUUUUUAUUAUUUAUUACCUGUUUUUACUGUUCAUCUUAUUUUGAAUUUUUCCUCUGUCAAAAGAAAAGAAAUCCAAAGUAUUGAAAGGAAUCUAUGCUCUUUAUUUUGUUCUCAUUUUUAUGAUGAUGGGUAGGUUGACAGUUGAGGUCAGGCAGGAGUCUCUGGUCUAUUAUGUUUGUGGACAACAUUAAGAAACAGGUGAAAGACGGCCUGUAGCGGUGGAGGAGUGUUCUGGAGAGAAGUUGUGUGAAUGAGAGGGAGACAGGUUUAACAGAGAUGCUGCAGGGAGUAGAGGUAAUAUAGGUGGAGAAAUUCAAAUACCUGAGGUCAAUGAGCCAAAGCAACAUUUAUGAUGUUAUUAUCAUUGUGUAACCACAUCAUUUCUUUAGGGAUUAAUACAUUUUUCUGAUUCUGAUUAUGUUUUGUUUUUGUCGUCCAGCCACUGAUCAGCAACAUCAACUCAGCAGAGAAAACUGCUGUUAUAUUAUCAAUGUCAUCUCAUCUGGUUUUAUAGGUAAAUAUAAACUAGAUGAGAACUUUAAAGCAAUGUUAAUAGUUUUUGUGUUUCACGCUGUUGUUAUUUUAAUCUGAUAGAAGAUGUGUAUUCAAGUCUUAAUCCUCUCUUAUAAUAUGACUGUUGUUAAAUGCCUUUAAUGCCUUUAUAGUUUGUGUAAGUGAAAUAUGUGCAGUGUCAAAAGUCCAGUAUGAGUUUUAUAACAUGUCUUUCAUGAUGAUUAAAUAGAAUCUGAAUCAA